AGUGAAUGUUAGAGGAGCAGCAGGAGUGGCAUAGUCUAAGUCUUAAUGACUACUGUGCAAUACUGUAUGAUGACUGUAAUAGAGUGUACAGACCCAGGUUCAUGAAAUAAUGGUAUAUAGGCCAAUACUAUUCUGGUUUCAGUUUUCCUGGUACUCCACCUAUGCUUCCUGAAAGGAGGAACUGGUCUUGAGGAUGCAGUUUGGAGCUGGUAAAGAAGCUCAUGCAGAUACUCUGGUUGUAGGACAUAAAUAGAAAAUUCCAUAAAUAAGCUCACCUCUAGCAUCCCUGGUCUCUGUCAAAAAGCCCCACAAAAAUCUCUCUUUAAGAAAAUCUUUAUUGCCCUGAAUGGAGGACAACAGGCCCAUUCUCUGGUCCCCUGAAGACAAGCUGAAGAGAGUUUGAUAUCCAAAGACAUUACAGCUGGAGAGGAUGAUACACAGGAAGCUGGAUCUCCAUGACCAACCAAUCUCAUGCCACAUGACAUCUCUGCUAAGACUCUCACUGAGGAUAACUGACAAGCUAUUACCACUUGUGAGGGAGGUUUUUGUGACAUGGACUCCCACCUUUAAAGCAAUAGGGGCCAAACUUUUUGGCAGGUGUGCCACCAGUUUGCCCUGCACCCUCCCCAAGUGCCACUCCAAUUCUCUUCCCCUGCUUCAGCUGCCUCUCAGCUUUCUGCUUCCUUCCCUGUGCUCCCUACUCCAUUUGCUGCUUUGCUUUCUGCCUCCUGCUCUGUCUGCUAUUAUGCUGCGUCCCUUCUCCAUGUGCCACAGAGACUGUCUGUGCCACUUUUGGCACCCAUGCUGCAGGUUGGCUGCGCCUGCUUUAAGGUAGGGAACUGAGAUGCAUUAGCGUAUUCUGCGUUCUAUGUCGGCCAUUAGAACAUUGACUCGUAAGUGAUAAGUGUUUUCCCUUUUGUUCUAAAAUCAGGCGUAUUUUGUUUUUUUAGUUGGUCUAAUGAAAGAAACAAAAUAUUUUAGACACAAGAAAUACCUGUAUGAAAAUGGCACCACUAGACAGAAAGUUGGCUAAAAUUUACAGCCUCAUUGUGCUUACAUAAAGACUCAGGGGUCCAAUGACACACAGGACAUUGCAGAAUUGGAGCUUUUACUUGGUUGGUUGGUUGUUUUCCUCAACCCCUGAAAUGUUGUGGGGUCACAGCGGGAAUGGGCUAAUGUCUAAAUUCUGUGACAGUCACGUGUUUCUUUUAUGUCGAAAACAAACAAACAAACAAAAAACAGGGUUAUAUUUAAUUUAGAAUCUUAUAGGUUUUUUUUUUUAAUAAAGAUGAAAAAAUUUUCCCCUGGCGGGCUCUUACCCAGUAAUAAUAAAGCUUUUCAAAACUUCAAAAAGCAAGCAUCAAUAAAAACGCUGCUCAAAUGAAAAAUGCCCCAUGGCACAAUCAGUUACAGUGGUCCUGUUAGUAUCUCUUCCAUUAGUAUCUCAAAAGGAUUCUAAGCCACUCAUGCUGCCACAAGCACAAAGGGAAGCUGCAGGAUAUACAGUGUAAUUUUCUAUCAUAUUUAAUACCCUUGUUCCCUGGGAGAUCUAAAAUUGGGAGUAGAGAAGGGCAAGAUUUAGCAUUGUGGGAGUGCUCUGCUAGCUUAACCUGAGGAGAAAUACAGCACCGAGGUUCCAUUCUCUUCUCUCUCCCCAAGGGUAGGGAGGUAAAUUUCCAACUCAAAGAAAUGUCAUGCCCCAGCAUGCUUGCUCCUUGCAAAAUGCUUCUAAGAGAAAUUAUAACACUUUAAUUGGCUGAAGAGCAGGAUAAAGAUGAAGAUUCACGUGUCUGUACAAACUGCAUUUAGAUUAAAGAAACUGGAAUUCUAUGACCAAAGAAACCUCAAAAUGCCUAUUCCAGCACAGAAACCUAUAUGCAUUCAUCAAACAACAUGAAUUACACAGUAUGGCAGAGUCAUUGCAAUACUUUUAUACCUAAAACAAACAGGCUGAUAUUAGUCCUACUUCAUUUUGGUCAAAAUAACAUAAAAUAAAAACCAGUAAUUGGAAGGGGGAACAGAAAUAAGGAGGAAUAAGCCCCUCUUCUGGAUGAAACAGAUAUGUAAGGAUUUUUAUAGUGUAACGUGGGUGUCCCCGAAGUGAGCGUCCCCCCUCACCAAUAGAAGAGGGAAGCCAGCAGGGCACACGUACUGGGUGUGGAAACUCGCAGUUCCCUCUUACCUAUCGUGUCUCAAUAGAGGAGGAACAGAAAGCGAUGUCAUACACAGGUACAAAUGUAGUAUAUCUAUAUAAAAGGUAGUGAACUAAAGUGAGUAUUUACAGAUUAUAAAUACAUAUAACUAUAACUAUAUAGACACCCAAAUACAAACAGUAAGCAUAAUGGUCCCAAACGAUAUGAACAGAUAAAUACAACAAUAAAUAGCACUCUAAAAUACAAGGCGUACAGUUAACAGUUAAUAAAGACUCCAAAAUGCACAGUGUAUAUCAAACAAUCAAUAAACACUCUAAAAUAUAAGAUGCAAGAGUUCUCUAGUGGUUCCCCUCCUCUAGGGGAUCUCUUCCUUCUGUCUCUUGAUUGAGGCUACCUUCCUCAAGGGUCACUCCCCAGGGGGAGACCCGUUUCUGUACUGACCCAUGUGUCCCAAGGA